GGCCACUUCAGGCUGUUCUAGGAACAUAGCCUGAGCUUCUCAGUAUUAUUCUGUUCACUCUUCAGUUUUGCUGCUGUUAUUGUUGCAGAAUGGAAAAGUGAGAGGGCUGGGGAAGGAAGAAGGAUUCUCCAUCACAGACCAGGCCCCAGAGAGAGAUCAUGCUGCAAAAAGCUGUCAGUGCUCUGAGAAUGGAGCUUCAUCCACUGGAAACAAGGGGGUGUAAAGAACGUCAUUCGUUGUCAUUGCAGCUUACAGGGAACCCUGGAAGAGUAACUCUUUCCUCUGUGAAACGAGCCUGUAUUCUUUGGAGAAGAAUGGGGAAGGAAAGUCUCAAAUAAAUGGAUGUAAUUGCCUUCAUUAAAAGCUGACUGAACAGACUUUAUCCUGUGGGGUCUACUCUCUCUCUCUGAGUCUGGCCCUCUGAACUGAGAUGCAAGGAGAGAUAUCAACAUCAUGUCUUCAGAGGAUGAAUAACUUCCCAAGAAGCUUACACUACAUUAAGACCCAUCUUCACAAUGAACAUUCCUAGGAGAAGAGAAUGCAGGUGGCUGGGCCUUACGAGGGAGCCUUUGAGAAGUUAUUUUGGUGAAAAGCUGGCUGCCACCCACUGUGCUUCUCUGCCAGCCGCCGUGCUCCUUCACUCUCACCACACCUCUCUCAUCCUCAAGAUAUUUGAAGAGUUUGUAUUCAAGGUGUGGAACAUCCGUGUGAUCCAGCCUGUAAAAUACCAUCGUGGAAGGUACAACAUGCCCUGCAUUAUAGGUCAUUUAUUUUUAUAUACAAGGACAGGGAGAAAGAAAAAAGAGUAGAUUCAGGAGUUUUCAGGGUGUGGAGCAGAGCCCAGGGCUCAACAAAACUAAAUGUUUCUAGGAAGGGGUGUUCUCACAUUUCUAGGUUCUGCUAUUCAGAGAAGGGUGUUUUUUGUUUUGUUCUCAGCAAAAUCCUAUUCUUGGUGUGGCUGCUUUUGAGCUCCAUAACACUCUGCAGGCAAUAUGUUUGUUUCUGAAACAAACAUCCGAGUUCAUUUGGGUUUGGGAGGACGCUAAACUCAAAACAUAUUUUAACAAAACUGGGUACUGACUUGGAGAAAUAAAAUAGACAUAUUACCUUUUUACACAUGCUCUUGUUAAGAAAGGCCUUUUCCUUGUCAUGCUGUGUCUCCUUCCCCCCAUUCUGGUCUACAAGGUAAAAAGAUGCUCGCAUAGGCUAUAAUAUUUAAAGAGAUGUCAGAGGUGUUAUACAUAGAUCUACAAGAAUGUUAAGUUCCGGCUGGUGUCUGUGUACACACCCCUCACCCCUGCCUACUGGAUGAAACAUGCAUGAGACCUGCUCAAGUGUUUAUAAAUUCUUUCCACUGGCUGAGCCUGCGAAAAUGCUCUUGUAGAUUGCUGGUUAGAAAUGCGUCCUAUGGAGGUAAAGGGCAUAAAUGCUGUGAUUGCUUUCUGCAUGCAUAUAGGUAUCCCAUGUAUAGUUACACCAAUUAUUUUACCAUCUAAAAUCACUCGGCUGAAGAGCUCUCCUAUUUGUCUGAGCUUCUAGUAUAGGGAAAAAUUUUUCUUUGACUUGAGUUUGGUACAAUCCACUAAAGGAGGAGGUUAAGGUGGUAAACAAGGUACAAACCAUAUAUGGGUGCAAGUCUGCAGAAAGAUGUGUAGGAAAAGGAGUGAAUAACAGCCCCCGAGGGAGAUGUGGGGAGCAUUAAUUCAUGUGCUCCUCUACUGCCUGCUGUCUCUUGUAUCCCCAGUGAAAAUACUCCAGGUCACCGAAGAGGUGAACCCUUAUCGCUUCCCCGGAGCGCAGCAGUCACUUUGCAUCUCCUUGCUCCAGCUGGAGAGAGUCAGGAAAGUCAUGGUAAGGAUGUAACUGUCAGGAGCACCAACCUGGUGGUACUUGAGUUAUUACGGGAAAAUGGAGUACAGGUCUUGCUAGGAGCAUGGUAAAAGCCAAAGGGGAGCAUCAUUAAAAGGUAUACUGUUACAGAGGCUCUACAGCUAACAAGAAUGAUGCUCCCUCGGGGGGGAGCAAACCCCUGUCCAAAGCACUGUCUUGCUUGCGUAAGAUGGAUCAGCAAGGAGGUAAUCUCUAGAAAAACUAAAGCCAAGAUUAAUAACAAAAGUACAGUCAGCAUCUUGACAGGGAGUCUUUACAAGAUAAUUUAUGACAAUGAAGGAAUAAAGGGUAUGGACCACGGUAAGUGUGUAAGAGAAGGACAGUUCUGCAAAACAGGCUUUUUACAUGAAAAAUGAGGAGAUUUUUACCUCUCCAUAGUUGAGAAGACUUGAAGAUACAACUCAUUCAUUUUUGUGUUUUUUAAUGCUACCUUUCUCCAUUAACCCUUCACAAGUACUCACUACCACAAAAACAUCUCUUCUGGUUUUUUUGUUGUUGUUGGCUGCUUCUCUGGGAAAAGCCACUCAGAGCUCAGUGCCAUUAGGCUGAUCCUCAACUCCUCUGAGUGGCUGGGGGCCAAAUGAAGGCAUAGGCCAUACUACUGUUUGUCUAACCCUUGGGCUGGCUGGGAGACAAACUGACACCAAGUCAGGGCACAGAAUCAUUCACAGACCAGGACAUCUAGAGCAAGAUUCCUCUGUGGAGGUUUAUAUAUUGGUGAAACUUCUGAUCGCUUAUUCAUUCUUAGAUGUCUGUUUUUCCUUUUACACAGCAGCAAGCUAAUGUGGAAUAGUCUGUUAUAUAAGAGACACCAGGUGUUAUAGGUUCACCGUUCUAGGUUUGCUUGAAACAAGCCUAGUGGCUUUCUCUUACUGGCUCAGGAAUGCUUAGUCCACAUUCAGUGUGAAACAGUGCAGCCUAAGGUGAGCUGCUUCUGGUCAUCUUCCUUUAGCCCUGAAGCAACUUCCCUUGCCUGCCUGCUAAUGCCUGUUCUGAGGCCCCGUUCUGAGAUACAGGCUCAAGAUGAGUCAUCCAUUGCAGGUCUCUCCCUAGUGACUCUAAGAGGCAUAAUUCACUGAAGGAGCCUCAGGUUUAGAUGGUUAAUGUCAGAUGAAUCCACCUCUAAAGAAGUCAGUGGUGAUGGAGUGCAAAAUGGGAACCAGGUCCCAUGGCCUUCAAGUCAGAUCAUUAUGACUGGACUAUCUGGUGGAGGAUACAGGAGGAUGCCCUGUAAAUCUCUAAGAAUAAGGCAGUGGAGAUUACUGUGUGUAAACGUUGGUUUAUUUUAAUAACAGAGCUAUUAGGAAGCUGGCUGGAAGGCUGCACACUGUAUCCAGACUAACAGGGGCCGUGAUAAGACAGCCAGGAGGUUGCUAUUUCCAGAAUCCAGCUGCACAUUUCUUUUGCUAAGAGAAGGAAUCAAGAGAUCCUAAGACUGCUGGACAUUAGAAGUGAGCUUCUUGAACAAAAGGCUCACCAAGCUGUCCAGGAGCUGUUUGCAGAGAAAGGAUAUACAGAUAGACAGACUGCCACCAGGGGCCUGAAGUCACAGAGCCUACUGCUGCACUAGGGAGAGGUCAGAGGAGCAGCUAACCCUGCAACUGUGACAAAUCCUAUGUCUCAAUCUUUUACACGCUGGCUUUCCCAUCCCUCUAAUCCUCUCUGUCACCUGUCCCCAGGCCCCUGCUAUUUUUACUAUAUCUCUUUUUGUAUCUGAAAUGGCCAGAAUGAAAGACAGUCUUUCAAUUUAUAUAGUGGCGCAAAAAAUAAGACUAAAAAUCUCCCCCACGGAAUCUGAGACAACAGCCAGCAUGAAACAGCAAAGGCCUUCAGGGAAUGGUCUGGACCUUUUUGUCUGAACAGUUGCAGUUAAGGCAGGACCCAACAAGGCACAUGAGCUUGUGGUUUCCUCUGGUGUGCACUGCAGGUUGUGCUUCUGCAAGUGAUGCCUGCUGUAUGAGGCUGUGCAGGUGCGUCAGGGCAGUGCAUCAGGGCUGGCUUCUGCCUGGUAGCAGGGCUUUGCCAAACCCUGCAAAGCUGGAGAGAUGCAGCCUGACUGCAGCAGCACAGAUGUUUGCCUGCCAGGGGGCUCAAAUAGCAUCUGGCUCCCUAACACCUCUCUUCUGAGCCUGGCCCUAGGUAACAACAAUAACAAGAGAUCCGGAAAGCUGUUUCUCUCCCCACCUGUCUCUCUCAACAGUGGUGGUUUCACACUGAUCACAGCUCUGCUCCACCACGCUUCUCUCUCACUCCCCCUCCUCAAUGGAACAAGGGGAGAAAGAGAAAAUAUGAUGAAAAAAAGCUCAUGGGUUGAAAUAAGGACAGGGAGAUUGCUCACCAAUUACUGUCAUAGGCAAAACAGACUCUGUGUAGGGAGAUUAAUCUAAUUUUUUGCCUCUUGCUGACAGACCAGAGCAGUGAGAACUAAAUGCAAACAAAAAGGAGAGGCUUCCUUCCAGCCUCUCCUGCCUCCUCCCCCCCCAAGCAGUGCAGGGGAAUGGGGGCUGCAGUCAGCCCAUAACUCUUCAUCUCUGCAGCUCCUCCACAGUCACUCUGCCCCUGCUCCACAUGAGAUCCUUCCCAAACUGAUCCCAUGUGGGCGUCCCACAGGCUGUGGCUCUCCAAGCACUGCUCCAACACAGAUCUGUACCCCAGGGCCCAUCCUUCAGGAGCACGCUGCUCCAGCAGCUCCCCAGGCCUCCUGCUAGGCCCAGUGCACUGGCCCACCCUUGGGCCCCUUCUCUCCUUUUUGAAGCCUGCACUUCAUCGUACAGUCUUCCCUCCCAGUGAUGUCAGAAGAAGGAAAAGUGUGUAAUAGGCAGAAAAAUCAAAACUAUUGACAUCGCUGCUGAUUUCAGCAGUGACUCAUCCUCAGCCUCACACUGAGAGAGCUAACAUUCGUUGCUCAUUAUAAAACAAUAUCUCCUAAGGUGGGGGGGUGUAGGGGAAGUGCUCUGUGCUUCCAAUAAGAGCAUGUUUAUUCAGGAAAAACUCAGCGUGCAAUUUACCAUCAGGCAGGCUCGCCUGCACACGCACAUGCAGGUAAUGAUGGUGUUAGCUGCCUGACAAAUUGCGGGGCCUUGCACAUUUGACCUCCUCCCCUGCCCUGCCUGCGGUAUCGCAUCUCCCAAGGGGUUCAUCCUGACAUCCCACCCCAGAGCAGCUACCAGCCGCUGCCAUUUUGGGUUUUCUGCCUAUUUAUUUAUUUCCAAAGAUCCUCCCAGCUCUCACCUCCAGGGUAAUUCCAUCUGUACUGCAUGCAGGGCUUGGUUUGGUGUCCAGUCUUGCUGGAGAAUCAAGUACCCUAUCCAUCAUUCCUCUGCCUAUAAAUGUGAACUUGCAGCAGUGGAAAGGGGAGCUUUAAACCUUUUUGAAGAGGCGUUUGGCUUUUACCUUUAACCCUGAGUAUUCUCCAGAUAUUGUUCUUCAAAGCUGAGACCUUUUUCAGUAUAGAAAAAAAGUUACUCUGGACAUCUUCCAAAUUGCUUUGGAUUAAGUUUAAUCUUUUCCUACCAAACUCUGUACUGAUCAUUGUACAGUAACUAGGGCUUGAGAAGGAGGUCUAGAAACAGUCCUGAUAAAAUUCUUAAGAUUCUCAAGCCUUGCCAGAAUAGUUUUGCUCUAAAAAAUUCAGCUUAUAAUCUCUGAUUCAGCACAUCUUUAUCUUCUGGAUUUUAGUACAAGUUAAGUACUUAACUGGUGCAUAGUAACAGAUUAAAGCAUAUGUUUAGAUGCUUUGCUGGAUACAUGAUGUUGUGCUGCAGGGUUUUUUCUUCACCCAUUCAGAGCUGGAAGGGCACAGAUUCUCUGGUGCUGUUGGGGCUGUGACAAAAGAAGGCUUCUCCCAUUCAGCCAGGUGGACAGCUUCAUACCACAUUAUCUGAUGUCCUCGUGAUCUCUUUCUAGUCUGUCUAUUUGGGCCACUUUAUCAUAGUGUGAGGAAAAAAAAUAUUCAUCAGACGUUUUGUAUCUUAGUAUGUUAGUAAAUGACCUCAAAUUAUAGCAUUAUGUUUUCAAAAUUUGUUAUGUAAAGAUAAUCCUGUUUCUAUAACACACUAGUAGGAGUCAGCCCUUGACAUAUAUUCUGAUUGGUAGGUCAUUAUUUUAAUUGCUAAACUUUAAUAAAUGUCAGUGUUUGCCCUGCUCCUCUCCCUCAGAUUGUCUGCUUUUGAUUUCUGAUGAUUCGCAAGCUUUCUCUUAUUCCCUCUGGGUUUCUUCAUUUCUCUUCAGUUCAGAAAGAGUGGUUCCCCAUUUCUCUCUACCUGCAGUGCAAAGGCUUCCCUUUGCUCUUCCCAACCCGCAUGUUGUAAUUAUAAUCAGUUAUGAAAAGUCAGCAAAUGGCAAUUUAAGCAGUUGAUUUUCAGUAAAAAUAGAUGCUGGAUCUUCUUGAGCAGUCAGGGCAGACACCGAGCCUGUCAGUCAGGAACUCUCAUGCUUGGCAGGACGAUUUACUUGUCUGAUGUUCCUACUCGUUUUCCAUCAUAAAAUGAAAACAUUUCACUUGUCAAACAUCUUCCUUUUUUUUGGGAUGCAUCUCGCACGCACGCUGCUCGGCCAUUUGAAACUCAGCUGUGCCUCUAGCAGUCAGUCUGACAGCUCAGCCAGACUCUAUCCUAAAGAGGUUUCCCAGGAACCCAUUGAAGCAUCCCAUAAGUUUGGGGACUGCACAGUGGAAAGAUUUUUUUUUAUUGUGCGAUGUUUCCAAACAGAAUUAACACUUUAUAGAAGCAGGAUAGGAGUUUUGAGUUCUUUGAAAUGGGGGAAAAAAAGAGUCCUCUCUCUACUGAAGUGUCCUGGCUGAAGCAUAAGCUCUCCCCUGCUAGAAGAGCUUGUGUCGAACAGCAGAUCCAGUGCUCUGCUAGCAGUGGAUCUGGCCUCCCUGGCUCCUUGGGCUUGGUUGCCCCUCGGUGACUUUGGGCUGAUGUCCCAGUGUAGCCAUGGUUCCUCAGGCCAUUCCACCUGGCUACUGACUGCUGCCAUCAGCAUUUCUCCUUAGCUUGGCUCAGGCCCAGAGAUCCCAGCUUGGAUCCUGUACCUCAUCCCUACUGGCAAUGGGAAGGACAGGGUCUGACCACACUGCAGCGUGGCCACAGUUCCCAACGCAUGCCAUCCUUCUCUCUGGCAGCUGGAUUUCUGUUCUCUUGACACCACGCAGACCUCUCCCACUGUUUCCUCUCUGCAGCUGCCCCAGCUGCAGCCCUCGGUGGGAAACCUGCUUUGCUUGCUGAUCUGGAAGCUAUUUUAAGUCAUGAGGCUCUUGCCAUGCAAAUCAAGGUAGCGUUGUGCAUUUGUUAUGAAAAAUUACCACCAUUCAAUUCAUCAGUCAGUUAUUCAUCUCACACUGUAAUUGUAGCUUGUAUACCACUCACCAUCUCUAGGUGCAUCAAGUGAGCUGAUCUCGUAUUUAAGAAUUUGCCAACAGUAUAAAUGGAUGCAAUUAUUUGACAAAGAUUUUCCAGCAUGGGGUUUUACAACGCAUGUUUUUUCCUGAGUUCUAAAGUGAGGGGCUAACCUUAGUAAUUUAAACAACAGUGUUUAUCUGCCUGUAAUUUACACCUGGGAAAGAGAAACAUGGGGUGAAUGGAGUGAUUUUCCCGUGUUCGCCCAAGAAGACAGUUGCCAAACUGAAUUCAGAUCCAGUGCUCAAUCCACUAACUCGCCUCCUCUCCCGCCCCCCCAGCCACAUUGCCCACAACAGCAAGUUCUGCUGUAUGUAAGCUGGGAUGCAAAAGCAAGCACAAAAGCUGAUUUCAGGAGAAGUCAAAAUGCCUCUACCGCUCAAGGCUGACAUCAUAAGCAGAGUAAGAGGAUAAGUUAGCUGGAGAGCAAAGCACUAAAAUACUGGAAGAGUGAAAAAGGGCACUGGCAGUAUGAAGCCACCUCUUUCCUUGGCCAAAUGAUGCACCAAUUAGUGGCUGGUUAAUAUUUAACAUAUGUUUUAGCAUUUGAGUAGUGUGCCAGGACAAAGGGCGUCACUAUUUUGAUAAGUGAUUGAACUUUCAGUAGCAAGUGGAGGGAGAUUUUUAAUUUCAAAGCAAAUAAAGGGAUUGGCAAGUGCUAUGGCCUAAAAUUUUAAUUUCCUAUCUUUUCCAAUUAUAUUAAAGGCAAACCAAAUGACUCUUGUGUUGGCUGAAGAUCUUAGGGUAUUGAAAGCUUUUGCAUUACAGCAGCUUAACAAAUUACCACCCAUCUGGUAGGCCGUCAUAUCUGGCCCCAUGUGUGCUCUUAGCAAUCCUUAUAUCAUGAACUGGAGCACAUCAGCGUUGGUGGGUUGGCCCGUCCCUCAGAGGUGCUAACGCCAUUUGUUUGGGAGGGCGACAGCACCCUUUGGCCAGGUGGUAGGAGCUCGCAGCCAUCUGCUGAGCUUCUGAAACAUGUGGCAGUAAGGUCUGGGAGCUGCUGUCAAAUCUCCACCUUCUGCAAGACAGAUCCUGUGGGGUAGGGAAAUGAUGGCAACUGCAGACGUGAAGCUUUCUGGGAUCUGACCCAGCGAUACCUCUGGCAGACAUCUGCAGUCUCUUCUACAUGUCCUAAGCUGAAAAAUGGCACCGAAGGCACAUAAUGAUGGCCAGCUGUUUGUUUCCUUGGAUAGCAAGCGCUGUUCUUACCAAUUCAAGUGACUUAAUUGCUUUGAGAAGGUCUUUAAUUUGCAGAUUGUACCUUGAAUUAGCCUGUACGGGUGCUGAUGAGAUCGAUUACCUGCAUUAACAAGGAGGAGCAGUGCCUUGGUGUUCUUGCAGUGUGCACUUUCAGAUUAAAUAGCAAACAGAGUAUGGCAGGACAAGAGGAGGCAGUGGCACUGAAGACAUCGAUCUGAGCUACAUGUCUCACCCAGAACCGUGCAGGUUUUGCUGUACACACAAUCAAAUAUGUCAAAUGGCCCCUAAAAUGUAAAUGUUAGCAGUCAAGGUCACCUUCCAAAGGAUGCCGAGCAGCGUGCCCCAGGCAGGCCCCAUUAGCGGCAGCUCUGACAGUGUUCCCACCACCUUCUCCUCCCCCAGCUCUUUGCUCCGUGCUGAGAAAUAUUCCAGAGGCAAAAGUCUUUCCUAUUUGAUGCUAAAAAGCUGUUCCCUCCUCCCAGCCGGCCAAGGCUCAAGUUUAAUAAAAAUCCUCAUUAGUUGUCAUCUAAAUAUGCAGGAGGUCCAUGCCAAGGAUUGCAGCCGAGAUAGGGAAAGCCAAGACAGGUUCUAAUUAAGGAUGAGGCCGGACCAAAACCUUGGGUCAGAAGCUAAUACCUUGUGGAAAUUUGGAUCCAUAGCCCUGAAUGCUAUUGACGAGGAUGAUCUCUUCAAUGAAAGCCCCAGGUUCUACCUGGCAGGGCUGUCGCAAACCCUUGGAGAGAUCCUUUGAUUCAGUCGCCCCACAUAACAUGGUGGAGAUCCUCUGCCUGCUUCGCUUUAAUUAAGGGAUGGGAAGCUUUAAUUAAUGCAACAUGACAGUGAAAAUAUAAUCAGCGGAGUGGCCCUUGUUGUUUGUUUGCAUGUUAAUUUUGCAUUUUGCAUGCUUUAAAAAAAAAAAACCAAAAAAUACAUUACUUGCUUUUUAAUUCUGUGUGGCUGCGCUGCAGAGCCUGUAGCCACAACACAGUGUUCCUCAAGGAGCUCUGGGGAGCGGAGUGUUAAUCAGUGCUGGGUUUGGCACCUGAGGAGCCACAGGAGGUGCUUGGGGAUUAUAAAUCAAACAGAGUAGCUGGGCUUUUCUGUUAACAUGAUCAUUAGGGAAAGACUGAAAAAUCAAUGAUAUUUUGUAUUUCUUUCUUUGUGUUUUUGGGUCAGCAGUGUACUGAGGCGUGGGAUCGCUCAUAUGAGUUGCAUGUGUUCUAGCCUUAGCAAAAACCAUACAUAAAUAUAUAUAAAUUUCAGUUCUGCAGAUAAGAUAGAGUGUCAUAUGGCUAUGAGGUCUACAGUACAAAAGAGAAAUCCUGAAUCUGAAACUGUGGUGAGCUAUGUUCAUCUUCCCUUGCAGCUUAAGCUGCAGAAUUGCUUCCAGUUUAAACUUAUUUCUUUUCUUAGCCUACUAAUAUGUAGAAGGAGCUGAGUUACCCUCCGGCUGAGCAGAGAUGGUGUUUUCAUCCUAUAGCAUUCACUGUGCAUUUGCAAUGAGAUUUUCACCCCACAGCUUCAUUUCUAUCUAGGAGGGCUCUUGGGUUGCAAAUGGGGAUGCUGUGGCCAAAACUGAAGCUGAAGCAUGGGCACCUCAGCACAUCUCCACCAAGUCUCAAAACACAGGCCAUUAGCACUUUAUGUUGCCAGAGGCCUCAGUGGGAGUGCAGGUAAGAAUACUGGCUUUCAGCCACCAACAGCACCGUGAUCUCCUGAGAGACCAUGAGUGGAACAGCUCAGGUGUCCUAAACAAAUGUAUCUGCAUCUGAGCUGCACACUUCCUAUUUGCUUUAAAGCUGGUAGGAUGGAAUAGACACUCUGUCUCACCCUAAAAGCUUCAGAGACAAACCUUAAAGUGCCUGCGUCUCUUUGCAGAAUGCAAGUUGCCCCUCCAAUGACUUGCUUACAUGGAGUUUGCCUGAUGGGCACUGAGAGCCAAAUGAGAUGAGUCCCACUUGUCACAUAUAUGACCCACUGGAGCCAGAAUCCUGCUUUCACAUUUUCAAGGAGCUCAAGUGAGCAGUAUUUAUACUAAGAAUUUAUGGAUAUAUAACUUAACAACCGAGACAUUGUUACUCUGCUUAUUCAACUACACUUGGAGCUAACAGAAGACCUUCUCUCCAACGCAUCUUUCUGUUGAGCUUAGAUCUGAAGACAUUGAAAAUAAUUGCAUUAAACUUGAUGAAAAUUUUUGCAAAAUUAAUACCUGAAGCUGAUUCUUCUUGUCAACAGUACCUAAGAAGCUCUGAGAUGUCCACGAUGGACCUACAAGUAAUUUGUCUAAAUGGCAUCUGUGUUACACACUGAAAGAGUAAUAAGGAAACAAAUAAAGACCAAUCAACCGACCUAAUAACCCACAUCUCCUGCUCUGCCAGCAUUGUAGAUCCUGACAGUGUUUGCCUAAAACAACAUUCCCAGCUGCAGUCAGCCACAUGCACACAGAAAUGUUAGCUACUUGCUGCAGAAAGUGUUAUGAAUAUCGUUAAUGGAAAUUGCAUGGUGUUGGUAGCAGGCUAGAACUCAGACAACCUUUAGGAAGUAGCUGAGAGAAGAAAUCAAAGCUGUUGAACAAACAUUAAUAUUUCCUUCAGUUGUGUGAGACUCCUGUGAAGAUUUACAUAAUUAAUCUUCAGCAACAAAACAUUUAUAAUGCAGUUUAAUAAUCUGGGUGAUAGACAGGUCAUGUUAAUUACCAUCUUUCUUCCUGGUUUUAAAAGCCACUGUUCUCGAGCUCUUAGCUCAGAAGUGACUGGCUUGUAUCAGCUUGAAGUCAGAGCGGGUCUGCAGAUGAUUAAUGCCUGAAUGCCUGACACCAGCCAAGGAUCUGCGGGACACGUCCGAGCCCUUGCCCUGCCACAGGCUUUGAGUGCAUCUGGGAGCAAGUGGUCUUGGACACACUUCUACAUUGCUGAUAUCCCAGCAGCUGAUAGCCCAGCAACUGCUAUUUGAGAUCCCAGUUGCAGGUCUCUGUCUGAGAGAUCUGUUGUUGUUAAAUCCUAUUGUGUCGUCAUCUGCUGAAGAGGUGCCAGCUUCUUGUGGGAGGAGGGCAGGUGGAAGCGAACAGCUUGAGUGGCACUUCUGGUCAUCACCAAGAACCUGUUGCCUAACUAUUAUGAAGGCUUUUCUGGCUCUCCUGUACAAGGUCAGAGUAGAGGAAGGGUUUCAAGGACAGCGCUAUGGUGGGUUUUACACCUGUUAGGUGAGGUGCUCCAUGUACUACCAUGGGGGAGAACAUGGUAGAAAAGAAAAAGAGAUUCAAGGGAGCAGCAUUGACUGAGGUAAAUGGGAGACAGAAAUUGCCUUUUCAGUGCUGAAAAGAAGAUGAUUAGCUGUUAGGAGGAAUAUCUUUACUCAGAGGGUGGUGGGGCACUGGAGCAGAGAGGUUUUGGGUACCCCAUCCAUGGAGGCAUUAAGGGCCAGGUUGGAUAGAGCCCUGGGCAGCCUGAUCUGUUGAAUGGCAGCCCUGCCCAUGGCAGGCUGUGGAACUGGAUGGACUUUAAGGUCCCUUCCAAACCAAGCCAUUCUGUGAUUCAUUCUAUGAUAGCACAGGGACAAGAAGCCUUCACACCAAAGAGAAGGAGCAGCUAGUGGAGGUAUAAACUUGAGAGCUGACAGUCUGUGAGAGCAAUCUCCAUAGUGGUGCUAUAGAGGAAUGCUGGCAAGGCAAGGCUCUGGUAGUGGUAAAGGAAAGGAUGCUGUGAUAACCAAGACCCCAGAUAAUGAGUGCCUGGUUGAGAGUUUUAGUUGUGUAACUGGAUAAGCAGGCCUGGAUUCUACUUUAGCUUGAAGAAAAGAUGAAUCUGUAAGGUAUAGGCUAAAUGUGAGAAGUUCACACUCAGACUGAGAACUUGAUGUGGGAAAAUAGUGUUAUCCAACUGCUUGAGAAAGAGCUGUCAGGAAGAACUGGGCUUUGACAGGAAGAGCUGUGCUGCAGUCAGGCACAGCUGGCUGACCUCUAAUGAGCUGCUAACCAAGCAGGUAUUGCAGUUUGGGCAGGAAGAGACCUUUCCUAUGAGAGAGAAUCCAUCAGUAAAGGAAAGAGCCAGCCAGGCAGUGGUGCUGGUAAACUAAAUUUCCAAAAAUUAAAGGGUGGAAGGAAAGAGGAGGGCAAAUCCAUGGAAGCAAAGAGAAGGAGCAGGUCUGGUGGUAAUGCAUGAGGCUGGAGAGCUAGGAGGGCUGGAAUGCGGAUGUGGCUGCCCACAGGGCUGGGAGGAAGCCAGAGAGGCAGGCUGGAGGUCAGGAUGGUUUCCUAAGGUGUGAACUACUGCCUUCGAGGAAAGGGCCACAGGGCAGAAGGUAUGGAAUAAACCAGGAAAAUAGAACUUUAAGCUAAUUUAUCUGAUAAGCUAUUAUAUAUGAGAAUAUUUGUGCUCUUUUACUCUCUUAAUGUGGUAUUCAUCAGUUACUAGGCAUGUGUGAGCCAAAUUGGUGGGUCAAGAAGUCCCUUAAAACAAUCGCUGUCUCGAGAGACUAGAAGAUAAAAGCAGUUUCUAGGAGUGUCUUCUCCUUCCAGGUUUUUCAACUUGGGCUUUUUAGAUAUUUUUUGACUGCUUCCUUGCACAUGGGCAAGCACUGCUGUACUCCCUGCUGUCCGCCCAGUGCCUCCACAGAGCCCUCCGAGCUCUGCAAUAUGGAUGCGUGCAUACAAGGCCCCACUAGAGACAACCCGCACAUGCUGAUACCAGCCCUCACCUUGAAUGUGCCUGCAGAACAGCCCUGCUUCCCACACCUUCUUGCAGCCCCAGAGGGAACCCCCAUGGACUGGGCUGUGCAGCUGCCCGCAGCGCUGGAAUAUCGUCUGAUGUUUGCCUGACUCAGGUCACUGCACAAAGACAUGCCAGCCUGCCAGGCUCAUUUGUUAUUUUGGAAAUGACCCGCCACGGUUCCUGCACUGCUAAUUGGCCAUGAUCCAUUUCCUGUUUUAUGAAUUCAUCUCCUGGUCCUGCUGCCUGGUCCAAGGGGUGCCAAGUACAUCAGUAAGUGUACAGCGCUUUGAACUCAGAAUUAAUGUGUAGUGUAUUAGACAGAGAUUUUGAUUAGAUUAGGGAUUGAGAUCUGUUUGUGAUAAUCUCUGCAAUCCUUCUCACCAAAUGAUCUUACUGCCUACAGAAACUGCAUCUCUGGAGUGAAAGGAAGGAAGAAAAUAAGACUGAAGGCAAUAGAGUUACACUGAAGAUGGCUUUGGCCCAAGGGUUUAUGCAAAACAGAUUUGUGAUGUUGCAAAUUUGUAUUUUUCCUUUCUGUUUCAAAAUGGGAAAGAGCAGAAACAGUUGAUACUGUCAUGAAAUUUCAAGACUGAAACACAAAGUAUUGGAAACUUGAGUGUCCUUAAUAGUGCUAAUCCAAGCCUGCUGGACCUGUGGACCAUUUUUGCAAUCAAAUGCUUAAGAAAUGCAGUGCAGUGAACUGAAUACUAUAAUUCUAACAGGAAAUUUCUCACUAAAAUCAGUGAGAAUUUUGUCUAUGUGAGGCUUACAAGAUUGGUUAGUACUUGAAGAACAACUUUUCUUCUUCCAUAAAGAUCCUCGCUGAUGGGUUCCUAUACUUCACCAGCUUCUCUUCUUUUCCUCUGUCAGAUUACAACAGAGGAUGGCAUGCUCUGAGUGCAGCUCCAAUACGUGGCACGUGGCUGUAUCUUUUGUUCUUAAAUUACAUGACUCUUGAGACAAGAAAACCUGCCAGAAAUCAGCCUUUGGAUGAGGAAGGCCAGGUCCCAGCUGAACCAAGCAGCACAAGUAGGAACUAUACCAAAGAAGUGGGCUCACCCAGAGCAUUCAUUGAAGUGGUGCAGAGCAUUGGGCACAUGCUGGAUCUUCCACAAAGCUUGGAGAGCUGGGCAGCCUCCAUUCCUAUCAACAUCUUCCUCACCUUUCCUCCUGUGAAGAGACAAGGAACCACCAACACAACUGCAGAACCCCAUGGACUCCCGUAUCUGCACAAGGAGGAGACUGUGUGACCCUGAUCUUGGCCAGCAUAGCACAAGGCUCCCCAGCAGUCACCUGCUUGAACCUAACACAUCACGGUCAGCUUCUAGUGAUAAUACAGCAUUCCUUAAUUUUGAAAGCAAUUAUGGGUCUGAGUUCAGGUUUUUUUUUCCCCAGAUUAAAGUCAAUAAAACACUCGGACAUCCGGAUUCCAA